CUCAUGUAGGAGAAAGUUGAGCUUGCUCAGGCACUCAAUCAAUUCGAUUAUGUACAGUAUAUGUUCGGUGACUGAAGCCCCUUUUCUCAUUCAAGUGUUGAAGAUAGCAUAACUCAUCUUAUACCUUUCAACAUCGUUGGGUGUGCCAAAGGACUCAUUCAACAUUUGAAGCAUAUCCUGUGGUUGAGCAUUCUCAAAUCUGUGGUUGAACUCAUCAUUUAUUACUGCCAGCAUAAUGCAACGCACAUGAUCCAAUCACUGAGCCAUUUCUGAUAAGUGUCUCAGACCGUACUACAGGCAUUUGGAGCUGACUCCUCGGGUAUCAGAUAUGUCAGCACGUACA
rnacentral:lncRNA from 1 species